rnacentral:rRNA from 1 species
GCUAAGAAUCUUCCGCAAUGGGGGAAACCCUGACGGAGCGACGCCGCGUGGGCGAAGAAGGCCGCAAGGUUGUAAAGCCCUUUUCUGGACGAAGAACGAGGGGGCGAGGAAAUGCGCUCCCGCUGACGUUAGUCCAGGAAUAAGCCCCGGCCAAUUACGUGCCAGCAGCCGCGGUAAUACGUAAGGGGCAAGCGUUGUUCGGAAUUAUUGGGCGUAAAGGGCGUGUAGGCGGAUCGGCAAGUCUGGUGUCAAAGCUGCCGGCUCAACCGGCGGAAGGCGCUGGAAACUGCGGAUCUGGAGUUCAGGAGGGGGAGCUGGAAUUCCUGGUGUAGGGGUGAAAUCUGUAGAUAUCAGGAAGAACACCGGUGGCGAAGGCGAGCUCCUGGCCAUGGACUGACGCUGAGGCGCGAAAGCGUGGGGAGCAAACAGGAUUAGAAACCCUAGUAGUCC